GUUAACACCAUGUAGGGGAGCAGGUGCCUUAAAGUCUGGCUUCGCCCCCAAAAGAGAACUGCGUUUAAAUUGACUAACUUAACAACGCAGAUCCAGCAAUAAACCAGACUGAACAUAGAACCACAGUGAGCAUUACAGAACUUAACACGUGUAAUCUUAAUACACCAAUUAAUGGUGAUUUUAUCACCAUGCACUGUGAAAAUCCACAGCAUGAGGCCAACUGUAACAGGCCAGGUCUGCACUACAGACUUGGAUCACUAUAACUACGUCGUUCAGAAGUGUGAAAAAUCCAGAACCCUGAGUGACGCAGUUAUGCCGACCUAACCCCCAGUGCAGACGGUGUUAUGUCAUCAGGAGAGCUCCUCCCAUUGACAUAGCGAGGAACAGAAUUUACCUAACAACAUUUAUGAAAGGCUGAUUCCAGUGCUUGAAAAUGAUGGAGGAAAUUUUGAACUUUGGCUCUCUGUCACACUGUCAAAAAAGCAGCUUGCUUCUUUAAUAUUUGAAUAAUACUGGAG